CAACAUUGGCAUUUCCCAAGUUUCACAGUCCAUUGGUUAGAUGACCACCACCACUACCACCACCACCAGUGGCGGCCAGCCGCCACGACCAUCGGCCGAACCCCAGCUGAUCCCAGACCUCCCAGAUGACGUGUCCAUCAACUGCCUAUCAAGAAUCCCCAGAUACUAUUACCCUAAGCUCUCUCUUGUCUCAAGAUCAUGGCGCUCCGCCAUAACCUCCUCUGCACUCUUCACCACCCGGUCCCUCCUCCAUACCACCCAAACCUCUCUCUACCUCAACCUCCGUAUCAACUACUCCUUCCACUGGUACACUCUCCUCUCUAAUUGCCAUAGCAGAAAAAUCCCACAAAAACCCAUUUUUCCCCUUCCCCGCAUCCCGUUUCAGCCCGUAGGCCCUGCGUUCGCCGUCCUAGGCCCGAAAAUAUACGUAAUUGGGGGGUCUAUUAACGAAAUUCCGUUAAAUUUGAUGUGGGUUUAUGAUUGUAGGUUUAAUAGGUGGGAGGAAGGCCCAAGAAUGAAGGUGGGACGGGAGUUCGCUGCGGCCGGGGUUGUUGAUGGGAAGAUUUAUGUUCUAGGUGGUUGUGUUGUGGAUAGCUGGGCACGGUCUGUGAACUGGGCCGAGGUUUUUGACCCGGAUACUGGGUUGUGGGCCCCGGUGCCGAGCCCUAUUGAGGUGAGGGAGAAGUGGAUGCACGCGAGCGCGGUGGUGGAGGGGAGAGUUUAUGCAAUGGCGGAUAGAGGUGGGGUGGUGUAUGAUGUUGGGCUGGGGAAGUGGGGAAACGUGUCCAAAAGGCUUGAUUUGGGGUGGAGGGGGCGGGCUGCGGUGGUUCGGGGAGUGUUGUAUUGUUAUGAUUAUUUAGGGAAGAUCAGAGGGUACGAUGUGGAGGAAGAUGUUUGGAAGGAGUUGAGGGGUGUAGGGAAAGGGUUGCCUAGGUUUUUAUGUGGUGCGACGAUGGUGAAUUUCGAUGGAAGGUUGUGUGUAGUUUGGGAGGGGAAGGGGAGUGGGAAGGAGGUGGAGAUAAUGUGUGCGGAUAUUGAAGUUUGGAAGGAUGGGGAUGGAAUGUUGAGCGGAAGGAUUUUAUGGUCUGACGUGAUUCUCACAGUUCCUAAUGGAGCUGCGAUUGUACAUUGUAUGGCAUCUGAGUUCUGAUGGUGAUGUUUGGUGCAGGAGAGUGUGAACUUUUACUUCAUUCUUUGCGAGGAAAGGGGAAAAUAGAGCGCAAAUUGGGGGAAUGGCCAUUGACGAGGGAACAUCCCUGAACCUCUGAAGCACACAUAAAAAGGAACAAGCUCGAUUGGUUCAGUCUAUACUUUUUAAUUGACUUCCCCCCCUUAUUUGAUAUUAAUUGGUCAUCUUGCCUAAAAUAUGCUUUCAUAUAAUUAUGGAGCAAAAAAUCUACAGAAUAAAGCCAGUAGCUGAACAUGUCCUAUACUGUAACGAGGGUUAGCCAACAGACUGACUGCCUCCACUUUCAUAAGAGUUUAAAAACAUUUGAUUUUCAUAUGCCAAGCAACGUCAUUCAUCCAAUCCCAGAAGACCCAAACUAGUGUUUUAUGUCUUUUGUUCUUUUGCCUAACUGUGAAGUCCCGCAGGCAUAAAUUGUUCUUUUAGGUUCCUCCUCCUUGUUUAGACAUUUUAAUCAUUCAUUACUGCUUCUUGAGCUUCUUGCUGGAAAAUUUUCUUCUUUUUUAUUAUCCUAUUUGCCUUUGAAUUUUUCCUGGAUGGACCGAUGAUGUAAUAAGAAAUAAACUGCGUUAUCUAUCUGCAAUUUCCCAAAUGGAAUUGAAGAUUAAUUUGUCUUCCUGAGGUCCUGUAUGAUAAUUAUCAGUCUAAUGGUUUCAUAAUGUCAUUUUUUCAAUUUCUUUUUCGAUAUUGAAGUCUGUACUGGUGGUUUAAUUUGUUUUAUGAUCUGAGGAUGAGCAUCAGUGAUGAUAUAUGACAAUUGUUAUCCUUGCACUUUGAUUACCAGUGAAGAAAACUAUGGGGAUUGACUCUGAGAUGCUGUUCUCCCCAUUUCCCACCUCUCUGUUGAGUUAUGUACUUUAUUUUUGAUGUUGUAAUCUGGAGAUUCUGAGAUUCAGUCGAAUGGUAUACUCACAGUUGUUUUACCCAUGUAUUCAAAAUGGAUUAGAGCCAAAUGCAACAUGAGCAUUUUGGAUUUGUUUGUUUUUUAAGAUAUUUUCUCGAUUGACAAAAUGGCCUUAUAAUGUGAUACUCUGCUACUUUGAUGUCCCCAUGGUGAUUGCGCUGCCAUUGCUUGAAUUUUUUUUUAGAUUUAGACAGAUUCAAUAUUUUUUGAACAUUGGUGUAGUUUAGUCAUGAUUGUCCAUUCUGGAUCAGUGAUGUUAAUGUUUUUACUGCGUUAUCUAUCUGAAAUCCAGUUGAGGAUAGACUUACUUCCUGAGAUCCAGUCCAUUUUUUAUUGAGCAUCAUUAAUUACCACUCAUGGAUUAUAUUGCAAAUGUGAGAUACUACCCUCCUUGCCUUUUGUUUGUCCCAGGUUUUCUUAACAAUCCGGUCCCAGAAGUGAGCAUUUGAAUUUAUCAUGAAAGUUCAAUUUAUAAGAUCGCUUUUGCUUGCUAUAUGAUGACUUUAUAGUAUGGAAUUGCGUGUGUAGUCAGCUACCUUACACUUUUUCUUUCCCUCUGUUUCAACUCUUAGAAUUUUGGUCCUCUUUUAUUUUUGAGUCAUUCUGUCAUGUUGUUACUUGUCCUUGGUGUUCAAAAUUUGUUCUUGAAGGUGAUAAUAUCCUAUAUGUUUUUGCAGCUACUAUUUGUAAUUUGCAGACGACCAUUAAGUGAUAAGUCUUAGAUGAGAACAUAUACUCCAUUUGAGUUAAUUUCUUGGAGCUUUGGUUCAUUUUCAAGUCAUUUUCUCCCAUUGCCAUCUGUCAUUGGCAUUCACAAUUACCUUUAAGGGAAUGAGAAAUUCUGUUUUGCUUGUGAGGUCAUUCACUUCAAAAGGCUGACGAUCAUUGAAGUGCCAGGCUUCUUUUAUGGAACUUUGUUGCCAAAGCUGGUAGCUUCACAUCUGUUCUUCUUCCCCUUCAUGUAAUUUCAAAUUGCUUGCUUCUAUAGUUCAAAUGAAGUUUCAUCCAUUCACUCCCAUUAUUUUGGUCUGAAAAGGAGGGCUGCCUGAGCACGUGGGGCUUUACUGUUGAUCUUCUUGAUUCUCACUGCAAUCGAUUUUUCCAACUACUCCAGUUGAGAAGCAGGUGAUAAAUUGCUUCUUAGCAGAAUGAUACUACUGGUAGUUUCUUCUAGCUCAGAUUGUGUGACGAAGCAACAUUGGGGUAGCCAUCCAGCUGCUUCAGAUUCUCGAAAGUGCCGAGGUGUAUUGCGUAGUCCGAGUCACCACCAUCUGAGGUACAUUGGCAGAUAAUUUACUGGCCAAGUUUGCUACAGCCCAUCUGGAAAGUAAUCUGUAUUUAUAUUCGGCUGCAUUCCCGACACUGUCUAGAUUCUGUAAUGUUAUUAUGUGUAUAUACCAUAUAGGGUUCAUCUGCAGCUGGCAAUGUAAGUUGGACCAGUCCUGCUUCUUGUAUGUACCUUUCUUUUCCCUUCUGAUUUGAAAUUAAUUUACUGUGCUCGCAUAGACCGGUUUUUUUUUUUUGUCAAAAUGAUAACAUUUGUAUUGAUUUAAACUUGAUAAUACAAGAGCACUUUACAAAAGGAGCUCAUUGCUCUCAUAA